rnacentral:rRNA from 1 species
CCUACGUGAGGCAGCAGUGAGGAAUAUUGGUCAAUGGGCUUACGCCUGAACCAGCCAAGUCGCGUGAGGGAAGACUGCCCUAUGGGUUGUAAACCUCUUUUGUCAGGGAGCAACGCCGGCUACGUGUAGCCGGACUGAGAGUCCCUGAAGAAAAAGCAUCGGCUAACUCCGUGCCAGCAGCCGCUGUAAUACGGAGGAUGCGAGCGUUAUCCGGAUUUAUUGGGUUUAAAGGGUGCGUAGGCGGAAUGCCAAGUCAGCGGUAAAAUCGCGGGGCUCAACCUCGCUCCGCCGUUGAAACUGGCGUUCUUGAGUGGGCGAGAAGUAUGCGGAAUGCGUGGUGUAGCGGUGAAAUGCAUAGAUAUCACGCAGAACUCCGAUUGCGAAGGCAGCAUACCGGCGCCCAACUGACGCUGAAGCACGAAAGCGUGGGUAUCGAACAGGAUUAGAUACCCUAGUAGUC